rnacentral:rRNA from 1 species
UAGGGAAUCUUCCGCAAUGGGCGAAAGCCUGACGGAGCAACGCCGCGUGAGUGAUGAAGGUCUACGGAUCGUAAAACUCUGUUAUUAGGGAAGAACAAAUGUGUAAGUAACUAUGCACGUCUUGACGGUACCUAAUCAGAAAGCCACGGCUAACUACGUGCCAGCAGCCGCGGUAAUACGUAGGUGGCAAGCGUUAUCCGGAAUUAUUGGGCGUAAAGCGCGCGUAGGCGGUUUUUUAAGUCUGAUGUGAAAGCCCACGGCUCAACCGUGGAGGGUCAUUGGAAACUGGAAAACUUGAGUGCAGAAGAGGAAAGUGGAAUUCCAUGUGUAGCGGUGAAAUGCGCAGAGAUAUGGAGGAACACCAGUGGCGAAGGCGACUUUCUGGUCUGUAACUGACGCUGAUGUGCGAAAGCGUGGGGAUCAAACAGG